AGAGAGGGCGACGUAACCAUGACUCCAACAACGUGCUACACUAACAGAAACUCCCUCGCAUUUGAUCCUUAUAACAAAUCAGCUGAUUUCAUCGUAGAAAACUACAAUGUAAUUUAUACGGACUGCAACAUCUGCUACAUCCUUCGUCAUCUUUAUGUUGAAAAUGGUUACGGUUGCAGCUUGUGGCGUCGGUCGUCGACAUUCCAGCAGGUGGCCGACUGCUGCGAGUUUAUCUACGCAGAGAACUGCGGUACGACACCCAAGUACCAAAUAUACCAGCCAUCGUGCGCUCCAGAGCUGGGGAUGCCAGGUGUAUAGUGCCACGCUUAAUGGUGGUCACCAUGGUUUGCAGAAGUGCCGUCUCGGGUACACUUUCCUCGCCUCCUCACUAGCAGAAGUCUGAAUCGCC